UAUUAGAUGACUGAAAGCAAGUUCUGGCCUCUUAAGCCAUUUCAUAGUAAAUAGCAACUACUUCUAAUAA
rnacentral:tRNA from 1 species